GUGGGGGGUGUAGAUGUUGUAGAUGACGGUGAAUAGGAUGAGAGAGCAGCAGAUCAGAACCACCACCAAAAUGGCGGUGAAUUUUGAUUUCCGCAGAGAUGAUGGUGAGUUAUUUGAAUUUAUUGCACAAGGGGUACCCAAUCGGUUGACGUUAUAGUAUAAUUGGGUAUUCCCUUAGGAAAAAAAAGUUAGAAUGUUAAUUCAGCACUCCCUUUGGGGGAAAUAUUGAUGGAGUGAAAUGGUUUUAUACCAAUUUAAGAAAAA